AUUGAACGCUGGCGGCAUGCCUUACACAUGCAAGUCGAACGGCAGCACGGGAGCAAUCCUGGUGGCGAGUGGCGAACGGGUGAGUAAAGUAUCGGAACGUGCCCAGUCGUGGGGGAUAACGUAGCGAAAGUUACGCUAAUACCGCAUACGAUCUAUGGAUGAAAGCGGGGGAUCGCAAGACCUCGCGCGAUUGGAGCGGCCGAUAUCAGAUGAGGUAGUUGGUGGGGUAAAGGCUCACCAAGCCGACGAUCUGUAGCUGGUCUGAGAGGACGACCAGCCACACUGGGACCGAGACACGGCCCAGACUCCUACGGGAGGCAGCAGUGGGGAAUUUUGGACAAUGGGCGAAAGCCUGAUCCAGCCAUGCCGCGUGCAGGAUGAAGGCCUUCGGGUUGUAAACUGCUUUUGUACGGAACGAAAAGGUUUGGCCUAAUAAGCUGAGCUCAUGACGGUACCGUAAGAAUAAGCACCGGCUAACUACGUGCCAGCAGCCGCCGUAA
rnacentral:rRNA from 1 species